rnacentral:rRNA from 1 species
GCUGAACCUAAGCAUAUCAAUAAGCGGAGGAAAAGAAACCAACAGGGAUUGCCUUAGUAACUGCGAGUGAAGCGGCAAAAGCUCAGAUUUGAAACCUGUCGCCUCUGGCGAUCGGAUUGUAAUCUGGAGAGACAUCUUCUGGUGGGCAGCCGGUCCAAGUUCCUUGGAACAGGACGUCGGAGAGGGUGAGAAUCCCGUAUCUGGCCGGUUUGUUCUACCUUGUGAAGCGUCUUCGACGAGUCGAGUUGUUUGGGAAUGCAGCUCAAAAUGGGUGGUAAAUUUCAUCUAAAGCUAAAUAUUGGCGAGAGACCGAUAGCGCACAAGUAGAGUGAUCGAAAGAUGAAAAGCACUUUGAAAAGAGAGUCAAAAAGUACGUGAAAUUGUUGAAAGGGAAGCGCUUGAGACCAGACUCGGGUUGGGGUGAUCAGCGGUGCUUCUGUGCCGUGCACUUGUCCCUUCCCGGGCCAGCAUCGGUUGCGACGGCGGGAUAAAGGCCCGAGGAAUGUGGCUCCCUCCGGGGAGUGUUAUAGCCUCGGGCGCAAUGCCGCCUGCCGCGACCGAGGACCGCGCUUCGGCUAGGAUGCUGGCAUAAUGGUCUUCAGCGACCCGUCUUGAAACACGGACCAAGGAGUCUAACAUCUAUGCGAGUGUUCGGGUGUAAAACCCCUGCGCGUAAUGAAAGUGAACGGAGGUGGGAACCCUUCACGGGGUGCACCAUCGACCGAUCCUGAUGUCUUCGGAUGGAUUUGAGUAGGAGCAUAGCUGUUGGGACCCGAAAGAUGGUGAACUAUGCCUGAAUAGGGUGAAGCCAGAGGAAACUCUGGUGGAGGCUCGCAGCGGUUCUGACGUGCAAAUCGAUCGUCAAAUUUGGGUAUAGGGGCGAAAGACUAAUCGAACCAUCUAGUAGCUGGUUCCUGCCGAAGUUUCCCUCAGGAA